UGGUAGGGUAAGGGACUCAAACUAAGUGGACUACGCCGGAGUUCGCCGUCUGAGGGCGAAGGAAGAGAACAAUCAGACUAGCAACUUGGAAGCCUGUCGAUAGGCUGAAGAGUUCGCGAAAUGCUAAUAUAUCGACUACACUCGUAGAAGCUUAAGUGCCGAUAUUUUUGGACGUGGGUUCGACUCCCACCGUCUCCACCA
rnacentral:tmRNA from 1 species